rnacentral:rRNA from 1 species
GACGAACGCUGGCGGCGUGCUUAACACAUGCAAGUCGAACGGAAAGGCCCUGCUUUUGUGGGGUGCUCGAGUGGCGAACGGGUGAGUAACACGUGAGUAACCUGCCCUUGACUUUGGGAUAACUUCAGGAAACUGGGGCUAAUACCGGAUAGGAGCUCCUGCUGCAGGGUGGGGAUUGGAAAGUUUCGGCGGUUGUGGAUGGACUAGCGGCUUAUCAGCUUGUUGGUGGGGUAGUGGUUGACCAAGGCUUUGACGGGUAGCCGGCCGGGGAGGGUGACCGGCCACCUUGGGACUGCGAUACGGCCCAGACGCCUACUGUAGGCAGCAGGGGGGAACCUUGCACAAUGGGCGCAAGCCUGAUGCAGCAACGCCGCGGUCGGGAUGACGGCCUUCGGGUUGUAAACCGCUUUCGCCUGUGACGAAGCGUGAGUGACGGUAAUGGGUAAAGAAGCACCGGCUAACUACGUG